GGCAGGCUACUCUCUGGAAUGCAGGUUUUAUGACCUACAAUCAAACAAUGCCUAAAGUUUCUCACUCAUUAACCUGGAGCAACAAAAUGGAAAGAAUUCUGAUUUCAAAGCAGAGAACCUAUCGCUUUGCUGGCUCUGAGGAUGAUUGACUCUGUUGUGUGGGCGAGGUCUGUGCAGAAGCCGGCUCUGCUCUCUCCACUGAGUCUUGCUCUUGUCACCCAGGCUGGAGUACAGUGAUGCAGUCUUGGCUCACUGCAACCUCCACCUCCCGGGUUCAAGCAAUUCUCCUACCUCAGCCUC